rnacentral:rRNA from 1 species
AGCGGGUGAAAAGCCCGCUCGCCGGAAGACCAAGGGUUCCUGUCCAACGUUAAUCGGGGCAGGGUGAGUCGACCCCUAAGGCGAGGCCGAAAGGCGUAGUCGAUGGGAAACGGGUUAAUAUUCCCGUACUUGGUGUUACUGCGAAGGGGGGACGGAGAAGGCUAUGUUGGCCGGGCGACGGUUGUCCCGGUUUAAGCGUGUAGGUGUGUGUUCCAGGUAAAUCCGGUUCACUUUAACACUGAGGCGUGACGACGAGGCACUACGGUGCUGAAGCAACAAAUGCCCUGCUUCCAGGAAAAGCCUCUAAGCAUCAGGUAACAUCAAAUCGUACCCCAAACCGACACAGGUGGUCAGGUAGAGAAUACCAAGGCGCUUGAGAGAACUCGGGUGAAGGAACUAGGCAAAAUGGUGCCGUAACUUCGGGAGAAGGCACGCUGACACGUAGGUGAAGUGAUUUACUCACGGAGCUGAAGUCAGUCGAAGAUACCAGCUGGCUGCAACUGUUUAUUAAAAACACAGCACUGUGCAAACACGAAAGUGGACGUAUACGGUGUGACGCCUGCCCGGUGCCGGAAGGUUAAUUGAUGGGGUCAGCGCAAGCGAAGCUCCUGAUCGAAGCCCCGGUAAACGGCGGCCGUAACUAUAACGGUCCUAAGGUAGCGAAAUUCCUUGUCGGGUAAGUUCCGACCUGCACGAAUGGCGUAAUGAUGGCCAGGCUGUCUCCACCCGAGACUCAGUGAAAUUGAACUCGCUGUGAAGAUGCAGUGUACCCGCGGCAAGACGGAAAGACCCCGUGAACCUUUACUAUAGCUUGACACUGAACAUUGAGCCUUGAUGUGUAGGAUAGGUGGGAGGCUUUGAAGUGUGGACGCCAGUCUGCAUGGAGCCGACCUUGAAAUACCACCCUUUAAUGUUUGAUGUUCUAACGUGGACCCGURAUCCGGGUUGCGGACAGUGUCUGGUGGGUAGUUUGACUGGGGCGGUCUCCUCCUAAAGAGUAACGGAGGAGCACGAAGGUUGGCUAAUCCUGGUCGGACAUCAGGAGGUUAGUGCAAUGGCAUAAGCCAGCUUGACUGCGAGCGUGACGGCGCGAGCAGGUGCGAAAGCAGGUCAUAGUGAUCCGGUGGUUCUGAAUGGAAGGGCCAUCGCUCAACGGAUAAAAGGUACUCCGGGGAUAACAGGCUGAUACCGCCCAAGAGUUCAUAUCGACGGCGGUGUUUGGCACCUCGAUGUCGGCUCAUCACAUCCUGGGGCUGAAGUAGGUCCCAAGGGUAUGGCUGUUCGCCAUUUAAAGUGGUACGCGAGCUGGGUUUAGAACGUCGUGAGACAGUUCGGUCCCUAUCUGCCGUGGGCGCUGGAGAACUGAGGGGGGCUGCUCCUAGUACGAGAGGACCGGAGUGGACGCAUCACUGGUGUUCGGGUUGUCAUGCCAAUGGCACUGCCCGGUAGCUAAAUGCGGAAGAGAUAAGUGCUGAAAGCAUCUAAGCACGAAACUUGCCCCGAGAUGAGUUCUCCCUGAGACUUAGAGUCUCCUGAAGGAACGUUGAAGACGACGACGUUGAUAGGCCGGGUGUGUAAGCGCAGCGAUGCGUUGAGCUAACCGGUACUAAUGAACCGUGAGGCUUAACCUU